GUGGGGAAUCUUCCGCAAUGGACGAAAGUCUGACGGAGCGACGCCGCGUGAGUGAAGAAGGCCUUCGGGUCGUAAAGCUCUGUCAUCAGGGACGAACGGCCGGUGGAGUGGAAAGCCACCGGAUUGACGGUACCUGAGAAGGAAGCCACGGCUAACUACGUGCCAGCAGCCGCGGUAAUACGUAGGUGGCAAGCGUUGUCCGGAAUUAUUGGGCGUAAAGCGCGCGCAGGUGGGAUCUUAAGUCCAUUUUGAAAGUUCGGAGCUCAACUCCGUGAUGGGAUGGAAACUGGGAUUCUUGAGUACCGGAGAGGAAAGCGGAAUUCCCCGUGUAGCGGUGAAAUGCGUAGAUAUGGGGAGGAACACCAGUGGCGAAGGCGGCUUUCUGGACGGUGUCUGACACUGAGGCGCGAAAGCCAGGGGAGCGAACGGGAUUAGAUACCCGGGUAGUCC
rnacentral:rRNA from 1 species